rnacentral:lncRNA from 1 species
GAGAGAGGAGCGAAUCCCAGCUGGUGUGUCAGGGCUGAGCGGCAGGAUGCUCGCUGCAAGCCAUAGAAGCUGUGUGAUAGCUGAGGGCCGGUGGCUGCCUCAGGUUCGUGGGAGGCCGCGUGGAUGGCGAUGACCCCGAGGUUCCCACCCUGCGGUAGGCGGCACGGUGCCCCCCAGCCCUGCGCUGCGCUGCCCCCACGCGUUUCCCACAGCCCUUACCCAGCGCCAGCUCGGACACAGCGACGCUCAGCAGCAGGGACAGGGACAGCCCCGCUCUGCGUGCAGCCAUACCCCGGCAGGACCCCACGCCCCGGGUGUUGGCACCGAAGGGAGGGGGUUUCCACCCGACGCGGCACUCCCAGCGAUGGGCACAACGCCCGGCAGCCACCUGCCCUGCGGCUGGGCCGUGAGCCGAGAGGAUUUUUGGGGUGUGCGCGCAGCCCGCAGCCGCGGGAUGGAACAGAGCGUGGUUUCCUCAUUCCCUGGGCUGGGGGCGAAGCCUGAGCUGGGCGGCUGUGCUGUGCACGGGGACGGUACCGGUAGGGGGAGGGAAAGGACGGUGCUGAGAGCGCUGCCCAGCGCCGCUCCCCCCGGGCCGAGCCGAGGCGCGGAGCCGCUUCCUC